rnacentral:tRNA from 1 species
GCCGCGGUAGCUUAGACCGGGAGAGCGCUGGACUGAAGAUCCAGUUGAGCUAGCCAGAUGUCCUGGUAACCGGGAAUCGGGUGUUCAAAUCACCCCCGCGGCA